rnacentral:rRNA from 1 species
AGUGAACGCUGGCGGUAGGCCUAACACAUGCAAGUCGAGCGGCAGCACAGUAAGAGCUUGCUCUUACGGGUGGCGGGUGGCGGACGAGUGAGAAAUACAUCAGAAUCUACUUUUUCGGGGGGGAUAACGUAGGGAAACUUACACUAAUACCGCAUACGACCUACGGGUGAAAGCAAGAGAGCUUGGGACCUUGCGCGAUUGAAUGAGCCGAUGCCGGAUUAGCUAGUUGGCGGGGUAAGGGCACACCAAGGCGACGAUCCGUAGCUGAUCUGAGAGGAUGAUCGGCCACACUGGAACUGAGACACGGUCCAGACUCCUACGGGAGGCAGCAGUGGGGAAUCUUGGACAAUGGGCGCAAGCCUGACCCAGCCAUACCGCGUGGGUGAAGAAGGUCUUCGGGUUGUAAAGCCCUUUUGUUGGGAAAGAAAAGCAGCAUGUUAAUCCCUCGCUGUCCUGACGGUACCCAAAGAAUAAGCCCCGGCUAACUUCGUG